UAAUACGGAGGGUGCAAGCGUUGUUCGGAAUCACUGGGCGUAAAGGGCGCGCAGGCGGUUUGRUAAGUCAGAUGUGAAAGCCCACGGCUCAACCGUGGAAGUGCAUUUGAAACUGYYARACUUGAGUACCAGAGGGGAAAGUGGAAUUCCCGGUGUAGAGGUGAAAUUCGUAGAUAUCGGGAGGAAUACCGGUGGCGAAGGCGACUUUCUGGCUGGAUACUGACGCUGAGGCGCGAAAGCGUGGGGAGCAAACAGGAUUAGAUACCCUGGUAGUCCACGCCGUAAACGAUGUCAACUAGGUGUAGGUGGUGUUGAUCCCUUCAGUGCCGGAGCUAACGCAUUAAGUUGACCGCCUGGGGAGUACGGUCGCAAGAUUA
rnacentral:rRNA from 1 species